CUUGAGCUCCUGAUCUUCUUGAGUGUUGGGAUUUCGAGCUUUCGCCACUAUCCAUGGUCAUUUAUUUGAUGUUGGGGAUUGAACUUGGGACCUCGAGCACGCUAAGGAAAUCAAUCAACUGAGCUACAACCCUACCACUCUUUAUGUUUUUGAGACCCAUUCUUGAGCUUUGUAGCUGCCUCUCUGGUCUCUAUAGCUUUCCUGAUUCUGGUUUGAGUCUUUCCCGGGUAUCUGAUAGGAUUCGUUAGGUUCCAAGCAGUUUGUUUUUCUUCCUGUGGAUGAGCCAAACUUUGGAGAAGAUCCCUUAAUUGCUUGUUUCUCCCCUCUCACGCAGCUCACCCACCCCCUAGCUGCCUUCCCACCCAGACACAUGAGAAAAUGUCCCGUUAGCCCUUCCAGUCAUGCGAAUGAGGCCACGAUUGAUUCAAAGGCAGUGGGCAAGGAGGAGGCCGCAUGGAGCAGUCAGAAAGAACCAGCCCUUUGUGCUGCAGCAGGGUCCUUGGGGAUACUUUUGAGAGUGUUGUCAUCUAUCCAGAUGAACUGGGUGAUGCUCUUCUGCGCUGGACACUCAGCAUACGCUUCAAGCUCACUUGGUCUAACCUGGGACUUGGACCAACAUUCAACCUGGGGUGAAGCCUCACAACUGGUGGGCUGAGCUCCUGUUACUGCCCCGCUCACUGCCCCCUGUAGUAUGGCAAAUAAACUUGUUUUCUU
rnacentral:lncRNA from 1 species